CGUGACGGCGCGAGCAGGUGCGAAAGCAGGUCAUAGUGAUCCGGUGGUUCUGAAUGGAAGGGCCAUCGCUCAACGGAUAAAAGGUACUCCGGGGAUAACAGGCUGAUACCGCCCAAGAGUUCAUAUCGACGGCGGUGUUUGGCACCUCGAUGUCGGCUCAUCACAUCCUGGGGCUGAAGUAGGUCCCAAGGGUAUGGCUGUUCGCCAUUUAAAGUGGUACGCGAGCUGGGUUUAGAACGUCGUGAGACAGUUCGGUCCCUAUCUGCCGUGGGCGCUGGAGAACUGAGGGGGGCUGCUCCUAGUACGAGAGGACCGGAGUGGACGCAUCACUGGUGUUCGGGUUGUCAUGCCAAUGGCACUGCCCGGUAGCUAAAUGCGGAAGAGAUAAGUGCUGAAAGCAUCUAAGCACGAAACUUGCCCCGAGAUGAGUUCUCCCUGAGACUUAGAGUC
rnacentral:rRNA from 1 species